rnacentral:rRNA from 1 species
AACGAACGCUGGCGGCAUGCCUAACACAUGCAAGUCGAACGAGACCUUCGGGUCUAGUGGCGCACGGGUGCGUCACGCGUGGGAACCUGCCCUUAGGUUCGGAAUACCUCCCCGAAAGGGGUGCUAAUACCGGAUAAUGUCUUCGGACCAAAGAUUUAUCGCCUUUGGAUGGGCCCGCGUUGGAUUAGCUAGUUGGUAGGGUAAAAGCCUACCAAGGCGACGCUCCAUAGCUGGUCUGAGAGGAUGAUCAGCCACACUGGGACUGAGACACGGCCCAGACUCCUACGGGAGGGAGCAGUGGGGAAUAUUGGACAAUCGGCUAAAGCCUGAUCCAGCAAUGCCUCGUGAGUGAUGAAGUCCUGAGGGUUGUAAAGCUCUUUUACCCGGGAUGAUAAUGACAGUACCGGGAGAAUAAGCACCGGCUAACUCCGUG